rnacentral:RNase_P_RNA from 1 species
AGGCCAAGUGACCGCUGCUUCUCUUAUGAGGAGGGGAGGAAAGUCCGGGCUCCUAUGGACGAAGCGCUGGGUAACUCCCAGGAUUUUGGAAUGCUCACACCACUCUGAAAGACGGAUAGUGGCACAGAAACAUACCGCCUUGUAUUCUUUAACAGAAUUUACAGGUCAGAAUUGACCGAGGUAAGGUUGAAAUCGGACGGUAAGAGCGUCCGGUCGGCUACGGUGACGUAGCGACGGCUAAACCCCGCUUGGAGCAAGGCCGAAUAGGGGGACUAUGAGAGUCCUACUCGUCCCCGGGUUGGCUGCUUGAUCAUGAUGGCAACAUCGUACUUCUUUGGUACCCGGACAUUGAUUAAUGUUCUGAUGGCUAGAUAGAUGGUCACUACCCUCUGAUCGGGAAUAACUCUUGAUUAGAGCGGAUACAGAACCCGGCUUAUCGGCCUGUUGG